CGUGAGCAACCUGCCCUGGACUCUGGGAUAAGCGCUGGAAACGGCGUCUAAUACUGGAUAUGAGACAUGAUCGCAUGGUCGUGUUUGUAAAGAUUUUUCGGUUUGGGAUGGGCUCGCGGCCUAUCAGCUUGUUGGUGAGGUAAUGGCUCACCAAGGCGUCGACGGGUAGCCGGCCUGAGAGGGUGACCGGCCACACUGGGACUGAGACACGGCCCAGACUCCUACGGGAGGCAGCAGUGGGGAAUAUUGCACAAUGGGCGCAAGCCUGAUGCAGCAACGCCGCGUGAGGGAUGACGGCCUUCGGGUUGUAAACCUCUUUUGGUAGGGAAGAAGCCUUCGGGUGACGGUACCUGCAGAAAAAGCGCCGGCUAACUACGUGCCAGCAGCCGCGGUAAUACGUAGGGCGCAAGCGUUAUCCGGAAUUAUUGGGCGUAAAGAGCUCGUAGGCGGUCUGUCGCGUCUGCUGUGAAAUUCCGAGGCUCAACCUCGGGCUUGCAGUGGGUACGGGCAGACUAGAGUGCGG
rnacentral:rRNA from 1 species